rnacentral:rRNA from 1 species
UACGUAGGAGGCAAGCGUUGUCCGGAAUUACUGGGCGUAAAGGCGCGUGUAGGUGGUGGGACAAGUCUGCUGUGAAAGCGCCUGGCUUAACCGGGCGAGGUCGGCGGAAACUGUCCGACUAGAGGACGGUAGGAGGGGGUGGAAUUCCCGGUGUAGUGGUGAAAUGCGUAGAGAUCGGGAGGAACACCUGUGGCGAAGGCAGGUCUCUGGGCAUUAACUGACGCUGAGGAGCGAAAGCAUGGGGAGCGAACGAGGAA